CUUUCCACUUUCAGCAUGUGCUUGAACACAAGCCGAACUCUCAGCACUGGAUGAUAUCCGCUCGCGCUCCGCUAGAGAUUUGUCGCAAUCCCGCACUCGAUGAUCGAUCUUCGGCUUGAAGAUGCGCGCCAAUAUUUAGCGAAAUCUUCGCCCUUCGCUGUUUAAUGUAAGACAUUCUCCAUGGCGUCUCUACAGCAAUCAAGAAUUCAGUCAUACCUGGAGAAGAAUAAAAUCGGACCAUUGUUUGAGGAGAUGAUGACAAAGCUGAUAACUGAGACACCAGACCACCCCAUCCCCUUUCUCAUUGGCCAUCUGCAGACCAAGCAGGAGAGUCCAGGCAGAAUUCAGAGGACGCUUUCAGGUUCUGCUGCACUGUGGGCUGAGAGCUCCUUGGAAUACAAAGGCACACGACGGGACUCCAGGGACAAUGAAAAACCCUGGCAGAUCCAUCCCAAAAAGCCCAAGAAAUCAAAGAGUGACCUGGCCAUGUCGAGCAUUUCCCCACCCUCUCCUGAGUCUAAAUCAUUGCCUCAUUCAAUACUGCGCCCUACCUGGGACUGGAGGACCAAACCUGAGAGUCGAGGCUUUGACGAGCUCAACCAGAUACUUCAGGAGAGCAAGAAGCUAGGCAAGGCCCUGGAGAACCUGUCCCGCAGUAUUGCUGUAUCUGAUGACUUUGACCUGGACCCCCGAGCGUAUAACUCUGUACUGAGGCCACGGGUGGUGGGCGAGUGGGUGGGCCGUGAGGAGGAUGAUUCCGACCCCCUGGCCGCUGAAAUGCUUCAACCCCCUGUCCCUAGAGCGAAGACUGAGGGCUGGACAAGCAUAGACAACAGCCCUGUUGGAAGCUUGAAAAUGGAGACUAAGUGUAAAGGCCUAAAACAGCAGCAACAGAACCAUAAGAAACUUCUGGCAGCUAUGUUGUCUCAGGACUCGUUUGACUCCAUGCCGGACUCCGGCCCUUCCGUCACUGAGGACGAGAUAGAGGAUGAAGAUGAUGCCAUGGAGCUGCUGGAGGAUCUAGAUGACCUGCGAAUGGAGGGGGUCACUGGCCUGGUGCCGUCUGGCAGUAAGUUCAGCCAAGGCCGCAGCUCUUACUGUUCAGAACCCCAGGCCAAAGUCACUCUCAACAUCUGCUCAAGGUGUGCAAGGCUUCAAGGGGACAGUCUCACUCCUGCAAGACCAGAAGAGGCAACAACACCCUACGUCCCAGAGCAAGCUGUCCCAGAAAUACCUUGUCCAUUACCUACGGUGACAGAAAAACUGACAGCAGCAGAAGACCUGCAGGCAACCUCUCAGGUGACAGGGCAGCGUCACCCUGUCUGGGCAUCGGAUGUGAAGCCGAUCAGAGGCACAAGCCCCCAGAUGGCCAGGCGUGCUCUGCAGCUCCAGGACUCCCUGUUCUCUAAGGAACUGGAGAACAUGGGCAAACAUCUCGCCGAGGUGGAAAAGGACUUAGCCAAGCUGGCAGAACAAGGAAAGCUCAACCGAAGUCCAAACAGCCCUCAUCGGAGCUUGCUUUUAACCCCCCUCUUCCACACCACAAACACUCUGCCUGUCAUCGGACAAACGUCCAGACCUCAGUCUCCCAGCAGCCUUUCCACAAAGACCGCAGGCCUGCCACUUCACAACACUAAACCCACAACCCUAGUCAUGGGCCGGACAUCUCCCAGCAACCCCAGCAGUCGAGCCCAGACUCCUAGUGGAGCACGGACGCCCAGCAGACCUGUGACCCCCAACAGUCUCUUACGAUCAUUCACUGCCGGAAGCCAUGGAAACACAGAACGUGUGUAUGGACGUUCUAGAAGCAGACCCGUCACACCAACUGGACAGAUAUCAAGGCCGAUCCUCACACCGCCAGGUUUAAGUUCUACCGAUUUAUAUGGAGGCCUAUGGAGCACACUGACAGAGGAUGAGUUUUACCAGCAGUUGCAGGCAGUCAGGAAGCCCUGGCGCAUCCCUAGCGACACGGAGAGUGACUGUCUGGAUCCUCCUGAGCAGGACAGGUGUAAUCCAAGUGGAGUGAGGGAUGCCAGUAAAAGAUCAGUGUUCUCAGUACACAAAGCAUUGGGACCAGAUUUGUAGGGCCCAGUGUUAUGGAAAGUGGCUGUCUGAUGGCCGUUUCUCGACUUAGCUGGGUGCCUCUCAAGAGUUAAGGCUUGUAAUGAUGUGUAUGGAAGACACCGAGCCAAUCAAACAUUUUUAUGCAAUUUAAAGGGGCAUUUACAUAUUGUGAGUCAGCAAAAGACACUAAUUUAUUUUUUCAGCUGAAGAAAGAUUGUGUACUUUUUCCACAGAAGUUAAUAUUUCUUAAAGAUAAAAAUGUGUUAUACAGUACAGUCAUUUGAAAUUAUAGAAUGUAAAAUGUUUUUCAGAAAAAACAUAAGCCUGCACUUGAGUUUUCUGUCUGUUAGCAUGAUUCUUGUCUGUUCAUGAUAUGUACUGUAAGUAUUUAAUGCUGCCUUGCAUAAACAAAUACAAUUCAUCACUUUAUGUGCCAUAUCAAUGGUUGGUAAAGGCAAUUUGAAUAAGCCUUUUCAAUAAAAGUAAAAAACAUAACAAUACAUUUUAUGGCAUUAGUGGACAAUAUGGAUGUUACAAUUGUUCCAGUAUAUGUAUAAUGUAUAUCCUCAGUUGGACAUGCACAGCACUGCCCUUUUUGACCUCAGCAUGCCACUCUGUCAUUUCCAACAGCAUUGUGUGUCUACAACUGGUGAGGACAGAUUUCUAAGGAUCAAAUUACUUUGACUUUUAUACCCACAGACAUAUAUAUAGCCUGAUA